UUUUUGGGCAUUAUUUUUGAAAAAAAUUGGUUUGGCGUUGUUAAAACAACGCUUUGUACAUGUUCACCAACCAAUUAGCAUUAACUCUUCCCUUUUUAAUCCAAAUAGGUUUUUUUGUUGAUUUUUUUAUUUUAUUUAAUUAUUUACACCCUUUAACAUAAUGCCCACAUCCCCACUACACCCAUUUUAGAAAAACGCCCAAUAAUGCCCCUUACUUACUGUGCUGUCACAUGACGAAAAACGCCCUAUGGUAAGGGUAUUAUUUACCCAAACCACUACACAUGGUGUAUGUAUGGUUACAUGACACAUUGUCACAUCACUAAAAAUGAUGUCACCUCACCAUUUUACUUUCUAUAUAUGCACGGCAUCUUAGACACAAUAGUAAAACCGAGAGUAUGUUCAUAAGACAGAAAAAUAGAACAAAUUUUUCCUUACAUAUUGACAAUGAUAAAGAUAUGAAAGUAAUGUUUUGAUUAGAUAACGUUUCUCUGCCGUUCAAAACAAAGAUAACGUUUCUCUAAUAAUAAAAAGCAAAAGCUUCGAAAUAGAAUAGAUCCUCUAAUAUCCUACACUCCUAUAUAUGCCUUUUAAUACUUGUAGCAAGCAUGAAGCAAUUGAAAUGGAGAGAACAAAGCUCAUUAUGCUUUCUUGGUUAUUCAUCUUUCUCUUUUCUACCCAAAUUCCAUCAAGACUGGCUCGUGAACACGAAUGGAUUGAACAUUCAAAAAGCCUAGUUAUACUUCAAGAAUCUCAUGGGUUAGAGACAACAACUUUAGAUGAUGACAAAGAAUUCAUGAAACAUGAUAUGGUGUCGUUAGCAAAGGGACAAAGAGGAGGGAGGGGAAGUGGCGGCGGAUCAAUAAACCAUACCCCUCGUAAAAACAAGGCACUAGUUGAAGCUCCGUAUCAUAUGCUCGUAUUGGUUAUGCUUCUCAUUUCAUGUAUUUUCUAUUUAUAUUAACUUAAAAUAUUAUUAUUUCAAAGAGUUGUGAGUCAUGUGCCCUAUCUAAUUUGUUUUAACUAAACUAGUUAGAUUUUUCGCCCGCGCAUUGCGGCGGGGACCCAAUGUCUGCAAAACACGUAUCAGCAGCAGAUACCGAAUAUCAAAAUAUAAAUAAAAAUAACGUUGUAAGGAUUGUCACUCCGUCCUAAAAAAACGAUUUUAAAUAACCUAAUAUAUAAUAAUAGGACCCACACGUCCUACACGUUGGAAAUUCGGUAGUUUUCAAUUUAGUUAUUAUGGUGCUAGCACGUUAAAAUAUGGAUGAGCUCGGUACCUGUAACGGCACCAAAAGCACCGAUCCGGAAAAUCAUCGAAAUUAGGUACCGACACCGAAAAUGCUCGGUACAAUAUGGUCGUGUUUGAACGUUUUUAAAUGUUUAUAGGUUAGGGCUUUGUCUCUAAUAAGAAUACGUAUAUGUGUUGCGUUUGGAUUUGACGAUUGACAACACUAACAAUAUACUAAGUUAUAAAAAAUACAAUAAUUUAAUGCAGGUAAUAUACUAUAAAAUGCUUUCUUUAUAUUUAUUACAAAUAUACGAGCGUAUGACACGUUUAUUAUAUAUAAACACAUCUAUUAUCUAUAUUAAAACAAAACAUUUUGGUGCCACUUGGCAUAAUUUUAAUCUACUAAUUGCCACCUGGCAUUUGCUUAAACCAUUACUCUUCUUUUUGAGCGGCAAUUUGUUUACAAGCGGCUUCUCAAACACGCUUUAUUCAAAAACCCUAAUUAUCAUCUUCUUCAAUUCUCUCAACUGAAAUCAAUCUCCAAUUUAUCAUCUCUUCAUCAUUCAUCAGUUGAAAUCAUUCUCCACCGCCUCAUGCUCCAGCCGUUUCUCUCCUCCAAAGCCUAAUCCCAAAUUUGUUAUCCUCCAUUGAUCGUCGCCUCCUCCAAACCCUAAUUCCAAAUUUGUUGUCCUCCAUUGAUCGUGGCCUCCAGUUACAGGUUUCUGGUAUGUGGUCCCGGAAGAAGAAAUCUCAAUCUAUCAUCUUCUCAACUCUGAGCACCACUUCAGUUUGUUCAAAACAAAGUUUGAAUAAGGCCCCGAUUCUUCCGACUGGUUAUAUGUAUUUGUAUUAAAAAUCAGGGUUCGUGUGGAUCGUGCUGGUCCUUUAGUACAACCGGGAGCUUUUGAAGAAUCUCACUUCCUUCAAACAGGGGAGUUGGUCUGGCGAUUCAUUGCUAAUGGUGAUCUACUAAUGGUAUCUCAUAGGGCAAAUGAUGUGUGCUGCUAGCAACACGUAAGCUUAGGUAUUUGUUCAAUUAUCUACUUAAUUGCUGGUAUUUGUUCAAUUAUCUACUUAAUUGCUGGUUUUUUUCAGUUCAAUGUAGUUUAAUAUUUACACAAGUAAUCAAACGUUCCUCAAACUUCUGACUUUUGUUGGUUAAAAUGGGCGCAUGUUAAGGUUCUUUGCUUCAACUGGAGGCUGCUCCUGAAUAGGAUUCCUGUCAGUCCUAAUUUAAGCAGGAGGGGUGAGGCGGUAGGAUCGAUGUUAUGUCAAUUCUGCAGGCGUGAAAAGGAAAUGACAGACCAUAUAUUCUCCAACUGCUAUCUUACCGCUGAGGUAUGGAGAAGGGUGUCGUGGUGGAGCGGCUUCCCCUUCUACGCGGCUACCAAUGUGGCUGGACUGUUUAAUAUUGCAGCUUCAGUGUCGGGUUCUAAGGCGAGGCGUCGUGGGGCAUUGCGGUGUUGUAUACGACUAUUUGGUUUGUGUGGAAGGCUCGGAAUAACUUUUUUUUAAUAGGCGUCAAACUACUGUAGAAACUCUAAUGGAAGAUAUUAUCACUUUUUAAUGGGUGGUUAACAGGUCCAAAAAUAGGUCUCUAUCUUGGCACACUUGGAGAUGUUCUGCUGUGGCUUGCUUUUAGUAUGCAUGGUUAUUGUUGUUACUUUUAGUUUGUUGAUGGCCUGUGGCCGUUUUUCUCUGUUUGUACUUGGUUCUCUUGGCUUCGCGCUGUGGUGUGUUAAUGAGCAGUGCCUUUUUCUAAAAGUUAUUGCAUUUUUUAUGAAUUUCUCACUUAUUAUAUUGUGGCUAUUAUGGUUUAUGUAGAUUCACGCAAAGACAUGGUAAUAGAGGACAGCUACAUUAGUGUGGGCGAUGAUGUCAUUGCAAUAAAAGGUGGUUGGGAUCAAUAUGGUGCUGUUUAUGGUCGACCUUCAAAAAAUAUUCUUAUCUGAAAUCUUAUGGUUCUUUCGAUGGUGAGGUGAGAUUUCCAUGCAAGGUUUUUCUAUCAUUUAUAGUUUUAUGACUUUAUCUUUUAUUUAUGUGGAGUCGUGUUCAAUAUUUAAACGGUUUUAAGUAGACUUUAUCUUUUAUUUCUGUCAAACAAGCUACUAUUUUAAUAUUCCUGACCUCUACUUGAACUAUGUAUCCAUUUGAGAAAGAUUCCCUCAAAUUUCAUAUAUAGUGUAAAGUUGAGAAAAAUGUAGAAUAUCUGACUAUAGACUAUUAGCCAAAUAUCUUAAAUACCCUUAUAUAGUUACAAAUUAUUAAUUAUAUUUGACAAUGAGAAUGAAAUAAUAAGAUGAGUGGUAAAUUUGUGGACCUAUUCGUACAAGUUUCUUGCUCUCUACCUCUAGCCCAUCUCAUAAAUGAGAAGAUAUUUGUUGUUCAUGGUGUUGGACUUUUUAGCACCGAUUGGGAGAAGCUCUCUUACAACAAAGGGAUUAAUCGAUUUCGUAAGCCCUAAGAAGAAGGUUUGAUAUGUGAGAUACUAUAAAGUGAUGUACCAUGAUGGAAAUGUGCAGCAGCAACAACAAAUUAUAUUUAGAUGGAAUAAUUGGGCGUUAUCAAAAGUAAAUCUAUUUUUGUGGCGGGCAAUUGCUUUGAAAUUUCUAACUUUGGAUGCAUUGGCUACGCGGGGUUUGGUAAUCAUUAAUGAUCUAUGUUCGUUAUGUUGAUGUGCGUAAGAGUCAGCAAAACACAUGUUAUUUUCUCACUCGGUUCACGCCUUGGCUCUGGCCAAGGCACACUUCGUGACAGGAGCGCUGAUCCAAUGAAGCUCGCGCUAUGCAUGAGAAGUUGCAGUCUCACCCAAAUGUAGGCGUGAGCAAGAAAAUAUAUAAAUUUGUGUUCAGCUUCCAGGUGAAUGAAUUCUUUAAAGUUUUUUUUUAUUAUUAUAAGUUUAUUACAAAUUCAGCUAAAUGAUGUUUACAAAUGUCUCCUUAAAUUGGAAUGGGAUGGCAACUUAUUGCAUAUUAGGCAACUUAUAUGUAUAUUUUAGCAUAUAUAAAUCUAAUUUUAAGUUGAUACACCAUGAGUUUUCAUAUAUUCAAGCGCAAAAUAUAGUGGUAUGUUGUGAUUUAGUUCCGACAUGCUUCAUCAAUGUUUUAUGUUACCUUUUCAUUCUAACGUUUUGUUAGGUGCUUUAAUAUUUGGUCCAGAAGGUAUCUAUCCGGCGACCCUUAGACGUGAAGCCUAAGUUUGGAAAGGCCUAGAACAAAAAUGAUGAUUUACCUGAGGAUUCAAUGCCAGUAGAUAUUAUAUAUCUCUCUUAAGCCACCCGCGAAAAUCGCGGGAUCUUAGGCUAGUUAUUAAGUAAAUAAGUAUUAAUAGUUUUGUGAUAUCCUUAAGUUAAUACGAAUGAAUUGUUUUAUCCGACUUAUUUA